CCGAGGGCGCCGGGCGCGGCGGGAGGAUGCCGAAGCCGACGCUGCUGCUGCGCGGGGGCUGGGAGCGCGAGCGCAGCCCCGGGGACUCGGAGCUGGGCCGCCAGUUCCGGGACUGGUGCCUGCGCACCUACGGCGACUCGGCCAAAACCAAGACGGUGACACGCAGCAAAUACCAGCGGAUCGCCGAGGUCCUGCAGGGCGGCGGCGGGACCGGCGCGGGCAGCGGCCCGGCGGCCGGCGAGAAAGGCAAGUUCCAGUUCUGGGUGCGCUCCAAGGGCUUCCGCCUGGGCAGCGGCCGGGAACCCAAGAUGGGCCAAGUGGUGUAUGUGCCGGUCAAGACGGGCUCGGGGGCAGAUGGCCUGUCGGAGCCGGAGGGCAUCUCUCUGAAGCGGGUCGCUGUGGUGGAAGAUUUCUUUGACAUCAUCUACUCGAUGCAUGUGGAGAGCUCAGCGGAGCCAGGCAAAGCCCCCAAGCACGCUGGGCAGAAGAAAACCUACAGAGCGAUCGCGGAGACCUACGCCUUCCUUCCGCGAGAGGCCGUGACCCGCUUCCUGAUGAGCUGCACGGAGUGUCAGAAGAGGAUGCACUUCAAUUCCAACGGCCUGGAGCCCAAAGAAAACGAGCCUCCCUCUCCUCUGGUCUCCGGGAUCAUCGACUACAACAUGCCCCUCACCUCCACGUACCUGAAGCAGAUGAAGCUACGGGUGAUGAACUCCCAGGAGCAGGAUGAAACUUCUGUGAGCAGUGAAGAUUUUGAUAUGAACGACUCCACAUGGAUGUCAGCUGACCCACACCUGGCCUCCAGCCUGAGUCCCAGCCAGGACGAGAGGAUGCGGAGCCCACAGAACCUCCACAGCCAAGAGGACGACGACUCCUCCUCCGAGAGUGGCAGCGGCAAUGGCUCCUCCACCCUGAACCCAUCCACGUCAAGCAGCACGCAGGGUGACCCCGCCUUCCCCGAGAUGAAUGGCAACGGCGCUGUGGCCCCCAUGGACUUCACCACCACCUCCGAGGAUCAGCCCAUCAACCUGUGUGACAAGCUCCCACCAGGCACAGCGCUCAGCACGCCUUCCUACCCCUCAGACGGCUGCGGCACGGACGGACUGCGGAGCCGCGUCAAGUACGGGGUGAAGACCACCCCUGAGUCCCCGCCCUAUAGCUCGGGGAGCUACGAUUCCAUCAAGACCGAGGUCAGUGGCUGCCCUGAGGACCUGACGGUGGGCCGGGCCCCCACAGCAGAUGACGACGACGACGACCACGACGACCACGAGGACAACGACAAGAUGAAUGAUUCUGAGGGCAUGGACCCUGAGCGCCUCAAGGCCUUCAAUAUGUUCGUGCGUCUCUUUGUGGACGAGAACCUGGACCGCAUGGUCCCCAUCUCCAAGCAGCCCAAGGAGAAGAUCCAGGCCAUCAUCGAGUCCUGCAGCCGGCAGUUCCCCGAGUUCCAGGAGCGGGCCCGCAAGCGCAUUCGCACGUACCUCAAGUCCUGCCGUCGCAUGAAGAAGAACGGCAUGGAGAUGACCAGACCCACCCCUCCGCACCUGACCUCGGCCAUGGCAGAAAACAUCCUGGCAGCUGCCUGUGAGAGCGAGACAAGGAAAGCAGCCAAAAGGAUGCGCCUGGAGAUCUACCAGUCCUCGCAGGACGAGCCCAUAGCCCUGGACAAGCAGCACUCCCGGGACUCCGCAGCCAUCACCCACUCUACCUACUCACUGCCAGCCUCCUCCUACUCCCAGGACCCUGUGUACGUCAAUGGCGGCCUCAACUACAGUUACCGUGGGUACGGGGCCUUGGGCAGCAACCUGCAGCCCCCCACCUCCCUCCAGACAGGAAAUCACAGUAACGGGCCCACAGACCUCAGCAUGAAGGGCGGGGCCUCCACCACCUCCACCACGCCCACGCCCACGCCCUCCAGCAACAGCACCAGCAGGACCAUGCCUACGGCCCAGCUCAGCCCCACGGAGAUCAGUGCUGUGCGGCAGCUCAUCGCAGGCUACCGAGAGUCUGCCGCCUUCCUGCUGCGCUCUGCAGAUGAACUGGAAAACCUCAUUUUACAGCAGAACUGACCCCAGCAGCACCUGGAGUGCACCACCCUAGGGAAGGAGGCUGUCCCUGCCCCGGACCUGGCUUCCUGCCUCACCAGUUGGUACAUUUUGUUUUUUGAAAGAGGUGGGAUCCAAAAGAGCUGUUUCUAGCCACACUCCAAGCACCUGAGACUUUGGGCACAAGGACACUUUUUUUUUUGGAAUCUCACCACACGGGUGCUCUGACCUGCUUGGAAGAGGCCAUUGGGGCAGCUUUGGAGGGGCUGGGGUUCCCCCCAACAAGGCGCUGGGGCCACUGCUCCAUUUAGAAUCAUCUUCGUGGACCCUGAUGUUAGAAUCCCACCCCCAGAUAAUUACCUUUCAAGUCUUAGAUUGCCAGUCUGUGUCUGUCUGAUCAGAAGGAUGUAUCCCUGUGACCUAACAUUCCAUAUCACUACACUGGCGCGGGCUGGGGCUGGCAGGGCGGGGGUGUGGUGGGGCAGGCACCGGGCUGGCUGUCCCUCUGAGUGCCCAGCACUGCCAAGCAGGAGGACCUCACCCACACCCACUGCACAGCAAAGACAAACACAAACGGCUCCCCCACCCCCAUCCCACAGAAGCCCCAGUCCCACGGCCACCUGUACUCUACCUCACACUCCAGCAUGGGCUUCUUCCACACUGUGCCCCGAGCCUGUUCUGAAUGGCUGUCUCCCAGCUCCUCCACACCAUGUGUCUGCCUGGGAGGUAAGUCCAGAUGGGUGGCCAGGAGCUGGAGCCCAGGGAGGACCUUGGCCCCAGCCCUCCUUGCUGCUUGCCAGGACAGAGUGCUGGGAGAUGGCAGCCGGUCAGCAGGGCCCUUGCCCUCACCCUGCCCACAGGAAGCCGGGUCUGAACACUUCUCUGCACAGGCCUGGGCCCCCCAGACACUUCUCUGGCAAGGCCCGUUUCUUCAGGGUGAGUUCCCAGCUGUCAGGCAGCCACUGAACAGGAAUGGCAGCUGCGAGCUCCUGGAUGAACUGCAGCUCCCGUCCUCUGCCCCUGUGGUUGGAGUAAAGGGACUAUCAACAGAAGUGGAGAAGCCACUUGGGUUCUCCUAGGACCAGCCCUUCUUCCUGAAGCGCCAGUCCUGGAAGAAACCCAUAAUCCCUGGAGUGUGAAAAAGGGCAAAAAGAAAAGGCUGGCCUGGUUUCCUCCCUCCCCGAUAGGCACUUCCUCUUGCUCAGUGCAAUACCUACCAGUGCUGCUAAAACCAGGGAUUCGCCCAGACCUCAGAAGGCCCACGGGGCCUCUCCAUGCAACACUCCGUAGCCAUGACAGCAGCUCUGCGCUGCCCGCCCCUGCCCAGAGCUGGCAGAAGCCCUCUGUUGCCUUUUCUCCCUCAGAGCAAAGAGGCCCCAGGGGACCCAGGGCCGAGUGGACCCUCGGAUAGAGAGCCACUCAACCCCAAAGCAGGCACCCCUUCCCAAACCAGCUUUUCUGCAGCCAACUGCCUCCCAGCACUGUGGCAGACCACCCUCAGGAGGGGCGGGAGGGGCUCCAGCAUGGACGCCCCGCCUUGCCUCAGAUCCGUAACUGAGCUCUGGCUCCCGGAUCCAGAAACUCCAAGAGGUAGGGUGCCCAGCCCGUGCUUACUUCCAGCCGCUAGAGGUUGGGGGUGGUCUUUUUUCUGUCAAGUGGCCUCCAACUCCCCACCCAGCCACACCACCUCUGCCUUCCAUCUGACCAAUCCCCAGCCUCUGGUCAGGGCCAGGACAUGCGAGACUGCCCCUAGCACAGCACAAGCUCCAGUGCCCAAGCCCUCUCCCACACCCAGCCAUCCACAUGUUCAGCGCCCCCUGCUCAGUACUGCUCCCGGACGUUUGAAUUUGUGUAAAUAUUUAUUUUUGUGUGUGAACAAUACUACAAAAUAAUCAGAAGAUCUUUUGCAACAUGUUACCCCAGGCAAUUUGUAAAAAUGUUAAAAACUGGCAGAGACAAUCGCCGCCUUAGAAUUCUUGAUAUCAAUUGCUUAACAAGUCAUUUCUCCUCCCAGAGGCAGUACCCAAGCCAGGCACAAACGGUUUGCUUUUCUUAACAGACAGAAGUGAGAAAGACUGGGAAAGGGGCUCCCGCCACCACCCACACAGGGGAUUAGAGCUAAGG